rnacentral:rRNA from 1 species
UACGAAGGGGGCUAGCGUUGUCCGGAAUCACUGGGCGUAAAGGGCGCGUAGGCGGCGCGGGAAGUCCGUGGUGAAAGCCCGAGGCUCAACUUCGGGUCGGCCAUGGAUACUCCUGGGCUUGAGCACUGUAGGGGCAGGUGGAAUUCCGGGUGUAGCGGUGGAAUGCGUAGAGAUCCGGAAGAACACCGGUGGCGAAGGCGGCCUGCUGGGCAGUGACCGUAAGGUGUUAAAAGCUGACGCUGAGGCGCGACAGCGUGGGGAGCAAACAGG